rnacentral:tRNA from 1 species
GGGGUUGUAGCUCAGUGGUAAAGAGCUCACCUAGUAUGUGCGAUGUGCUGGGUUUGAUCCUCAGCACCACA